rnacentral:rRNA from 1 species
UACGAGGGGGGCAAAUGUUGUUCGGAAUCACUGGGCGUAAAGGGAGCGUAGGCGGGUUUCUAAGUCAGGUGUUUAAUCCCGGGGCCCAACCCCGGACAGGCACUUGAAACUGGGAAUCUUGAAUAGUGGAGAGGUCAGUGGAAUUGGGGGUGUAGCGGUGGAAUGCGUAGAGAUCCCCAAGAACACCAGUUGCGAAGGCGGCUGACUGGACCGUUGUUGACGCUGAGGUGCGAAAGCGUGGGGAGCAAACAGG